rnacentral:lncRNA from 1 species
GCUCCCCCUCAAUCGGGCUAUCUCCCUAGCUAAAUCAAAAAUGUCAGUAGGUGCAUAUGGCUAUGGUCCUCUCUGCUCUAAGGCAGUCAGUCUGGCUCUCUUCUCAUCCUGAAAUAUAUCGAGUCUAUCUGAAAGAGCUCUCACCUCAGUACUCACCCUACUCAAAAUCAUAUUAACCAGUCUCUCAAGUGUGACAAAAUCGAAGGUCCCUGGCUGAGGAGUUGGAGUC